rnacentral:rRNA from 1 species
UACAGAGGGUGCAAGCGUUAAUCGGAAUGACUGGGCGUAAAGCGUGUGUAGGUGGUUGGAUAAGUUAGAUGUGAAAUCCCCGGGCUUAACCUGGGAACUGCGUUUAAAACUGUCUAGCUAGAGUACUGUAGAGGAUAGUGGAAUUUCCAGUGUAGCGGUGGAAUGCGUAGAUAUUGGAAGGAACACCAGUGGCGAAGGCGACUAUCUGGAUAGAUACUGACACUGAGACACGAAAGCGUGGGGAGCAAACAGG